UGCAGUCGAGCGGAGUGAUGGUGCUUGCACUAUCACUUAGCGGCGGACGGGUGAGUAAUGCUUAGGAAUCUGCCUAUUAGUGGGGGACAACAUUUCGAAAGGAAUGCUAAUACCGCAUACGUCCUACGGGAGAAAGCAGGGGAUCUUCGGACCUUGCGCUAAUAGAUGAGCCUAAGUCGGAUUAGCUAGUUGGUGGGGUAAAGGCCUACCAAGGCGACGAUCUGUAGCGGGUCUGAGAGGAUGAUCCGCCACACUGGGACUGAGACACGGCCCAGACUCCUACGGGAGGCAGCAGUGGGGAAUAUUGGACAAUGGGCGCAAGCCUGAUCCAGCCAUGCCGCGUGUGUGAAGAAGGCCUUAUGGUUGUAAAGCACUUUAAGCGAGGAGGAGGCUACUGAAGUUAAUACCUUCAGAUAGUGGACGUUACUCGCAGAAUAAGCACCGGCUAACUCUGUGCCAGCAGCCGCGGUAAUACAGAGGGUGCAAGCGUUAAUCGGAUUUACUGGGCGUAAAGCGCGCGUAGGCGGCUAAUUAAGUCAAAUGUGAAAUCCCCGAGCUUAACUUGGGAAUUGCAUUCGAUACUGGUUAGCUAGAGUGUGGGAGAGGAUGGUAGAAUUCCAGGUGUAGCGGUGAAAUGCGUAGAGAUCUGGAGGAAUACCGAUGGCGAAGGCAGCCAUCUGGCCUAACACUGACGCUGAGGUGCGAAAGCAUGGGGAGCAAACAGGAUUAGAUACCCUGGUAGUCCAUGCCGUAAACGAUGUCUACUAGCCGUUGGGGCCUUUGAGGCUUUAGUGGCGCAGCUAACGCGAUAAGUAGACCGCCUGGGGAGUACGGUCGCAAGACUAAAACUCAAAUGAAUUGACGGGGGCCCGCACAAGCGGUGGAGCAUGUGGUUUAAUUCGAUGCAACGCGAAGAACCUUACCUGGCCUUGACAUAGUAAGAACUUUCCAGAGAUGGAUUGGUGCCUUCGGGAACUUACAUACAGGUGCUGCAUGGCUGUCG
rnacentral:rRNA from 1 species